CUCCCCUCUUUUCUUCCCGUGAAACAGAAAGGAAAAGGGUUAAAGCCCCCCAUCGAAGCACAAGGGAGGGGAAGGGGCCCAGGGCCAGUGGCGGCGCGACCAAGUGCCAACGGCGCCCGCGGCCGAGGGCCUGCGGCAAUCGCGGCCAAGGGAAACGGCUGGGUGGAUCCUCCAGAUGUUGAGGAUGCCAAGUUAGAUGAGAUUGUAGAAGAUGUCGUAAACUCAAGUUUCUACAAUGAAACUCAAUCAACUCAAUGCUCGGCCAAUGAUGAAUCCAAUUCAUAGUGAGAUGAAUCAUGAUCAUGGGAUACUCCCUUUUGGUUUUGGUUUAAAUAUGGAUGUUGUUAUAGUUUGGGACUUUUUUAGUUUUGCUUUGACUAUGGAUGUUGUCAUUGGUUAUUGUAAUUUUGGUUAAAAUUUUAGCUUCUCAGGUAUGCCCUCAUCUAAUGUCACUCUUAACUUUUGCUCAUGUUUUUAUAUUUCUGUAAGUAACUAUGAACUGAAUUGUAAUGCUUUCUUUUUAACUUCAGAUGGGAUAUGCUUUGCUAAAGGAAACAGGUUAAGGGAAACAAAAGGGGCAAUGCUCUCUCUCUCUCUCUAUUUUUUUUUUUGCCCCUCUGAUGAAUGGAAUGAAACAGGUUAAAGGAAACAACAAGGGGCAAUGCAAAAGCAAAGGGUCAAAGCAUACUGCUGGCUUUCUAUCUGAACGAGUACAAGUUCUUAUUCCGACUCCUUCCCGGUUGACAGAGUUGAAGUCAUUUAUGUCAGUCCAUUGGAAUCAUAUACUGACGACAUUUAUAUAUGUCUCUUGUAUUCUGAAAAGAGAGAUGCUGAAUGAAAAGCUUUCAGCAGAACACUUCCAUUGUUUUGUUUAUGCAUAUGACUGGAUGAGGCUCUAGCUUGUAUUUUUCUUUUAUUAUGAGCCAAUCAAUGUACCAAAUAUACCAGAUUAUUGGAAUGUGACCAGUGACCAAAUUUGGUUACUGAAUAGUUUACCAAGUA